ACAAAUCUGCUAUUAUAGGUUUUAAUGUUACCAGCAAAGUCAUAGAUAAUGGAAAAUUUGUUCAAUUUUAUUGCGAAGCAGACGGUAAUCCAAUACCUAAAAUGUUUAUUGUAAAAGAAAAUGAGACGAUUGCUCAAAACUCCAGUGGAUAUUAUCUCUACUAUAACAAAUCAAUGUCUUGUAGAGAUGCUGGUUAUUAUUUUUGUCAAGCAAACAAUGGAAUAGAUGUUAACAGAGACGAAUCAAAACAAAUUACUGUAUUUGUUAGAUGUCCUUUACAACUUACUUCCAAUGAAAUUCAACAGAGUUUUAGUCUUCAACAAGGAAAGUUGUUUUCCUACAAAUUUACUGUGUAUGGCUAUCCAGAUCCAGAUAAGAUUACAAUUUUAAAAUCUAAUCAAGUUUCAAACAUUGUUAUAGUUACAAAUUCAUCACUGGAGCCUCCCUAUGUAACAGUAGAACUCAAGAUUUUCAGCCUGUCUUCUGCAGAUUUCGGUAUUUACACACUUAUUAUGUUUCAAAAUGGAUUACAGACUUUGUCGUUGAUCUUCAUUAUAAAUGAAGAGACAGGUAUAAAUUUCGGUGCAGUUGUAGGUGGAAGUCUUGCUGCUUGUGUGGUGGUGAUUUCAGUUGUGGUUGUUGUUGUGGUAAAAAGAAAAUAUGAAAUCACAUGUAAGAAAAAAAUAUCAAAUAAAGAACCCAAGUAAGUUAUUAUUGUAUAUAUUUUACAUUUCUUAUUCAAAUACGUAAUAUAGCUCCAUACUGUAAUAUAACUAUUACUAUAUUUUGUUACAGACGAACACAAACAUAUUCAGAACUGUCACUAUCCCAACAACUAAAAGACAGACAUAAUUACGAAACUCCAAUCCACAGUAGAAACUUGUCAAAUAAUGAAGUGACUGAUAAAACUGCAAACUACAUGAAUGUAAAAGACAUAGAUAUACCCGUCGGAAACGAUCAUUCCCUUUACUGCAACACACACAAUGAAAAUGUUCACCAACAAAUGGCUAAGACAGUUGUUCUUAUAGGACAUGACAAGGGUGUUUCUCAACACGUGGAAAUCGAUAACAUCAAACCUUAGUAUGUUUAUAUUAUAUGUAUACUAGACAUAGUUUACCCGCGAUCCGCGGGUCUUUAUUUGUGAAUACUGUCGAUAUAGUCACUGAGAGUGUUUUUAAAACAAUUAAAUGAAAUUCUAAUGUAAUAAAUAAAGCGAAUGUAUAAAUGUAAAAAUAGUAUGAAUGAUUAAAAAAUUUGAAAUGAAUAGACUUAAUUUUGUAUGUUCAUGUGUUAAAGUAUAAAGUAGAUCUUGAGGUAGACAUAGAUCUAGAUCUACACUAAUCUUGAGUUAAAAAUUGGCUUUUAUAGAGUUCAUUCUGUGCUGCGUGAAGGCUUUGCUCUUCGCAUACGUGACCUUUUUUCAUAAAUGAAUAUAGGCCUAUCUCAACACGGCUACGCAGCUUUAGCGAACAGCAAACAAAUGUAUUAAAAAUGCUUUAGAAAAAAAAAAUUAAAUGUUAAUUGGAUAAAAAAAAGAAAUGACUGGUUUACAAUUAUAAUGGUCAUGUGUUAAAACAUAAAACUAUCUUUGCGAAAAGAAGUUUUAUCAUCUUAGAGUUGAAUAAGAGUUUUAGACCUAGGACCUAGGAACAGACUCAGUAGAGAGAUGUGUUAAUGUGUAACCAUUUGGUAAUGUCUAAUUAAAGUAUGUGCAUCGGGAUACCUAAAUUCGCAGAUAUAAAUAACGAAUUAAUUUUAAAAUGCUUUUAAAACAUCAAUUUGAAGGUUAAUUUUAUUGAAUAAUGAAAUCAAUCAAAUAUAUUUUGUAUUUUCAUGUGUCAAAAAAACUAUUAGUGCAAAGUUUAAUUCUUAAAAUUUGAUCUAGGUCUAAAUCUUUUCAAUCUUUUCUCAUGUCAACAUUGUAAACAUGGCCUAGAUCCAUAAAAUACUAUAGCUGUAAUAGAGUUGGUCUUUGUUUUGAGGGUCUUAAGUUUGUUUUAGGGCCACAUUACAUACACUACGGUCUAAGUUGGUACCCAAGGAACAUUUCUGCCAAGUUUUAUCAAGAUUGGUCAAGCGGUUUUUAUUUCUAUACAAGGACAUACAUACAUACAUACAUACAUACAUACAUACAUACAUACAAACAUACACACAUACAUACACACAUACGCCAAACAUUCUGCUUUUUAUAAUAUGCAUGCCCAAAUACAUUCAAAGUAAGACUUGACAUCGAUUGCAAGUUUAACAUAAGAGAAAGUCUAGUGAAAUAAGCAUAAAUAGCUACAACUGAUAAGUUGAACAUAAUUAAAGUCUUUAUUAAGUAAUAAAAAAGAGACAAAAAAUGCAU